AUGAAGGUAUUUUUGGUGCAAAACUCCCAAGCAGCUGUAAAAGUGUCAUUUGUAGUUGUAAAAAAUAGCCACACAUGUGUAUCAGUAAAUUUGUACUCGCAGAGCAAAUUUGCAAAUGCGUAUCAGUAAAUUUGUACUCGCAGAGCAAAUUUGCAAAUGUGUAGGUAUUUUUUGUCUCCAACAAACACAACGCAACAUUUACACCUGCACAAAUUCUUCAGUACAGGUGCACAAAUCCCAUCGGACGAAUCACAAAUGCAGAAACUCAUCCGCUCAUGUUCUUUGCUACUAUUGUUGCAGUGAAUAUGGUGCAAAACACAUUCACACACCUGCAUCCAGAAAUGUGAAGUCACAGACAAAACUUGCACAUCUGUAGAUUAGAAUGUGUAUCCGCACAAAGAGAGCUGAACGUGUGUAGAAUGUUUGAUUAUUUUUUUUCUAAGCACGAACACAAAUAUGUUCCUGCAACUGCUCAAAUCUGCCGCUACGAGUCUCAAGCGCUGUUUUUCACUUGCAAAUCUACAUUUCGCUCUCUCGCUCUUCUGCACCAAAAAUCACUGUGACAUUUGGUGCAAAAGUUACUUGUGUAUCUGCCAACCAAAACGUGGGCUCUCAGAGAAAUUCAGCCAAUAGGGGAUGGGGCGUGACGUCACCGCUCUAGCGCUGCGGAGGCUGAACGUCGAAACCGAAACCCCCUUUGCGAGAUUCGCUGCAUCUAUACCUGAUUUGCGUUCAAAAUGCCUGCUUCAUUAUUUCAUAGUAGGAGCAAACAUGCCUUAAGAAAAUAAGUAGGUUUGAAACUUUAGUAACCAUAAAAAGUACGCCAGGUGGAUGCCUUUCUACUCCAGGAAGCCGCAGCCUACGGCCUGAAGGAGGAAGAGGACGCGGUCAGUUUGAAAUAUCUGUUGUGAUAGAGCUGGACCUGUAGACAAGGGAACUAACACAUUUGAGGAAAAAAGAAUCCAAAAUAAGAGAUUGGUGUGUGUGGUGAGGGUAAAGAAGUCCACAUGCAGCAGCAUCUUGGAAAUGCUGUAAUGCAGGGGUGCCCAAACUCAGUUCUGGACAGCUGGUGUCCUGCAGAGUUUAGAGUCAACUUCAACUAAACUCUGCAAGACAGCAGCAGUUCUAGACUGAGUUUAGCCACUCCUGUUCUCCUGUAGUGAACUGAACGAGACCCUGCAUCAGUCCACAUGCCCUUGUGUCCUCAUCUGGACCAGAUGUUGCUGUGGUCUCUUCAUCAUCCGUAUCUCGGGCAUGGACUGCCAUGCAUCACCGUCCUGUUUCAGUCUGACUGCAGCAAUGAGGGAUGUGAUGAUGGCGAAGUCCCUCUGAUCAUCUGAAGAACUGGCCCAGCUGUGUGGAGAUACAGCAAAACAUGGGCUUCUGUCUGUAAUACAUCACUGUUAGAAUAAAGCUUGGUUUCAUGUGUUGGUGACUUGUAUUUAUUUGUCAUGAUUACUCAUAUUCAUUCUUUUAAUAAUAUAAUUAUGUUUCUGUUUGUUUUCAAUAAAUAAUGAUAAUACUUUCAA